CACGACAACUGCUGAAUGCCGUGUUUGCCGUGGCGAGUUGAGUGAUCGUGCAAUGGCCGAUUGGUGAAUAUCGUUUCUGUAGAGUGACUGUCUCGAUUUGCUUCGUGUUGUUUUUAUAUAAUUCCUGUUUUGGAAUAAUUAGAUAAAAGUACGUAUGGUAGUGCAAAUUCUUGUGUAUUAACGUUGUGUUUAUAUGACAGUGAAAUAAAAUUUUGUGUAGGUGUGAACGAAGAAUAGGACGACUGCGAUUUCAUUUGAAACUUAUUAUUGAAAUGUGAAGAUUUGCCUGAGCCCAAUGCGGUGGGUAAUCAAUAUAAUGACUGGCCGGUGCCUGUUGCCGCCUGUGAAUCGAUAGCCAGCUUUACUAAUGACUCCGGCAGCUAUGCGACUGUGCCACGACACGCCCGUUCGAAGGCGAUGCAACCCUGAUGCCAAAAUAAUCACUCCAUAUUUUACUUGAUUAGUAUAUUUUUAAAUAUUACCAAAUUCAUUUACAAGUGCGUUGUUAUUAACACACAUGUGAAGUGAAGUGUUUGUGUUGGUGUGGUGUGUUUGUAUC